rnacentral:pre_miRNA from 1 species
UCUUAUGGAUGAGCAAAAAAAGUGGUUUCUUAAAAUGGAUUCUACUCCUGGUGAAGAUGCUGUGAA